CAUCUUAAGUACUGGUGUGCUUGGGGUUGUUGUCUUGUUGGAACAUCAAUUUCAAGGGCCAUUUUCCUCUUUGGCUUCAGGGCAACAGGGCUCUCUUUAAGUGUUUUGUUGUUUUCAGAACUGAUGCAUGAUCUCUGUUAUGCAGUAAAUAGAACUGACAGCAGAAUGAGAAACAGGUAUUCAUAUGGUUUGUGAUUUUGGACUCUGUUCAUCGUGGGUGCCGUUUUGCAAGGAGGUAAUAUUUCUAUACCUUUCCCGGAUAAUGUUUUCUGUUCAGCCUUUGUUUCGUCACAGAGUGGUAAUUAGUUUGGUCAGACUGAGAAAGGAACGGUGGAGGUUAAAACAGAAAGAGGAAGGAUAGACCAUGGUGAGAAGGUGAACCUUACCAAUAGAUGUUUAAGUAAACUGCAAAAUGCAACAUUUAAGAAAAGAAAAAUCUCUUUUGUACCAAAACCUGAUUUCUUUCAGUUAGCUGACUAGUCUCUCCAUAAAGAGUUGGGGACAGUGAGAUUAUCAUUCAUCUAUGUAUCCACAUUACCACUUCUAAAGGACAAGGCAUUAUAAAACCUUAUGAGAGUCAUAGGAACUUGUAGUGUGUUUUCAUCCUACAGUGAAAAUCUUCCCCUGGACAUCCUGCUGAUCAGACCCUUGCAAUCCAACACAAGUCUGUCAAUUGUCUUCGCCACGACAGACUGCCUGGUCUGUCUUGGUGAAGAAAAAGCAGUUCCAAUAAAAAAGCAAAACUCUUGAUGUGCCAGUUAAUCUGUAACCCAACCUUCAGUAUGGCCAAAAUAACAAGCUCUCGCUUCCUCUGUAGGACUCAGCUUUAGAGACUGGCUGAGACGUUCUGUCACCUGCUGCUUCUCCGCGUUGGUUGGUGUGAUUCAGGCAUCUAACUUGGUCAGCACAUCCAAAUAGAAGAAGUUUCCAGAAUAGACCCAGAACUCACAGGGCAACUACAGCUACAACAACAAAUCUCUUUUGGCCAAGGACUUCCUUCAAAUAGCCCAGAGUGAGCUAGAGUGACAAUGAGGAUGAAGGAUGCAUGGAAGGAAAGACUUACACUAAUUGUUAUUUAAAUAAUUAAAUUAUUAUUAUUGCUGCUUCUGCUGGCUUUCAGCAGCAUAUAUUGGUAUUUGCAUUCAGUGCUGACCCUUCUCUGAGGAACCACAACACUUUAGACCAAAGCAAGAAGCCGUAAUUUGCUCUACACUCUCACUACUGAAAGCAGGUGUUUAGGGUCCCAAUUACCCUAAAUACCUGGACCAACUGUACUGAAAGGGCAAAAUGGCAAACUGUGGAGCAAACGUGGAACAAAAAUCACUGUAAUUACACAAACGGCCUGCUCCCAAACGUCCCCAAAUGUUGUUUGCUUGGGGAAAAUGUUACUUUGUGUGCCCCGAUUUAUACAAGUAAUAAAAAGUAAAAAGGGAGCGAGAUUAUGCCGCAGGUUGUGAAGAUUUUCAGACAGUUUUAUGAGCUGCGGGGAGAUAAACUGCAACAGCACUGGAUAAAUGUGAUUUACUCUCCGUGCUUUAUUUUCCUUUUGGCUCUUUUUUUCAGGUAUCAAAAAGCUCAAAUGAAACUAAGGACGUGCGACGGAGGAGACCUAUGAAAGUUCACAGAAAUGCAGAAAAGUUUCCAUUUUAAACAGGCAGAGUGGGGAGGCCAUUAAAAGACGUAAGGCUGUUCGGCGGGCUCAUCGGCGUCCGUCUGUCGCUGGCCGGCCUGCUCUGGGGGUCCGGGCGGAGGGGUUUUGUGGCUGCGGUGCUGCCUGAGGCCUGGCUGGGCUGAUUUACAGGCGGCGUGGGGACAUGUGUUGGGGAUACUCCCAACGCAGCCUGGUGGGGGCCAAAGCACCCGCUCUGCUGCUGCCGGAACAUCUGGAGUCUAGACUCAGUGGCUCUGCUGAGCGCCUCGCUCCCUUCCUUCUCCCACAUCCAUCCAUCUAUCCAUCCCUCUCUGCCUCAGCUACUCGCCCCCUCCAAAGCCUCUGAAACUCAGCUUUCAGUCACAGUGUUUGUGUAGCAGUUUGGAGUGGGUGGGGGCCGGGGGUACAGAGAAAUAACAUUUUUAAAAAAUCUUUGACAUUUUCACGUCACUUGCCUUUUCUAACCCCUCUGUGUCGUUCUCCCCUUUUUGUCAGUCUUGUCCAAACUCCAGCACAUCUGAUGGAGGACACAACAGCCAGAAAAACAAAACAGGAGAGCGGAUCAUGAAGCACAUGUGGAAGAUAUCAUAGAGAGGAUUGUUAUUCCCUUCGCUCUAAAGGCCGGAGCCAAGUGUUCACAGAGGGACCCCUCCAGUGGUCUUUCAACCGAUUGGCUCCCAAGCCGAAGAGCGGUCACAUAAACACAUUGGCUCUGACAUACAUAUUAAACAGCUGCAAUAAACACGAUACCUCCCUCCCCCCCCAGGGGCUCCAACACACGCCGCCUUGUUUUAAAGGUGGCUCCUGUUGGGUUCUGUCAGGACAAAUGUUCCUUAUUCUGUUGAUGACCUGGUACGAGGCUCCAGCUCUCUGUCCUCCCUUCCUUUACCUUCCUGCUUUAAAUAUAAACACCCACUUCUCUUCCUCACCGUCCAUCAGUCCUUAUUUGGCCUCACACUCAAACACAAAUACAGCUCCUUAAAAGUACAAAAAGCAGAGGAUGCUUGCGAGAUUUAUAAAAUCUAGUUCCCCUUUUUCUAUGUUCAGCAUGUACAAAUGUAAUGUGCAAACACAGAACCCUUUAUAUUUUUAUAGUUAUUCACCUACGUCAAUCUUUUCAGGAUUUACUCUACCCUAAGUAUUCACUCCUAGUGGACUUUCUUCUUCAUCAGUGUAUUUGAUUGGGAUUGACAAAAAUCAGAUGUGGGUAGAGAAAGCAAAAAUUGUACCAGUGUAAGAACAGCACAACCUCAACAUAUUUUUAUUCACGUAAAUGCAAAACUUUCCAAGAAAUUACUCAAGUAAGAGUAGAAAGGUAUUGAAUAUCAAGUCCUGAAUAUCAAAAAAUUACAUGAGCAGACAGACCAAAAUAUAAAGUUAGUGGAUAUUUUGGUAUUUUUAAAUACAAAAUAACAGAAUCGAGCAAAAGUAUAAAAAAAAAAAUCCAAAUCAUUUUCUUUCAGGGUGAAACAUUUGAAAUGUUAACAAAAACUGCAACUGAAAACUGAAGCUGAAUUUUUGUUUGCAACAAACUUGUUCUCCAUUCGGUGAAGUCGCUCACAGUGCACAGAGUAUCCAGGAAUUUUAUUCAAGUAAGAGUGGCAAUACUUCAUUUUAAAAAAAUGACUCAAAUAAAAGUAAAAAGUACAGCAUGGUAAAAAUACUCAUAAAAGGACAUUUUUUCCCUUAAAAAUUGCAAAAGUAAAUAUAACUGAGUUAGUUAGUACCCAGUGAAGUAUGGUGUAUAACAAUGACAUGGAAGGAAAACAAUAUGUAUCUUCACAUUUGUUUUUUUUUCAUAUACAAAGUGUAGAUUGCAUUUUCAAUACUUUGUAGUACCAUUUUUUUCUGCAAACAGAGAUCCACGCAGUCCUCCUUUGGAGUAUAGUCUUCAUAAGGGUUAGCACAUGUAAGUCCUAAAAUGUUUGCCCAUUCUUUACAAAGUAGCAGAAGAUCAGUCACACUGGAGGAAGACUGUCAGUGAUAAACACUUUUUUUUCAUAUAACAAGUUAA